rnacentral:rRNA from 1 species
UACGAAGGGGGCUAGCGUUGCUCGGAAUUACUGGGCGUAAAGGGCGCGUAGGCGGGUCGUUAAGUUAGAGGUGAAAGCCCAGGGCUCAACCCCUGGAAUUGCCUUUAAUACUGUCGACCUUGAGUAUGGCAGAGGUGUGUGGAACUCCGAGUGUAGAGGUGAAAUUCGUAGAUAUUCGGAAGAACACCGGUGGCGAAGGCGGCGACCUGGUCCGUUGACUGACGCUGGAGGCGACGAAAGCGUGGGGAGCAAACAGG